rnacentral:rRNA from 1 species
UACGAAGGGGGGCUAGCGUUGCUCGGAAUCACUGGGCGUAAAGGGUGCGUAGGCGGGUUAUUAAGUCAGAGGUGAAACCUGGAGCUCAACUCCAGAACUGCCUUUGAUACUGAUAGUCUUGAGUAUGGGGAGAGGUGAGUGGAACUGCGAGUGUAGAGGUGAAAUUCGUAGAUAUUCGCAAAGAACACCAGUGGCGAAGGCGGCU